UUCCUUUCCCUCGAUGGCGAAAUAUCUCUAAAACCCUUCGAGCUGCAGGAGCACAGAAACACAUCAGCUAUGGCGCUUCUGUCUCGACGCAGCGUCGCUUCUCUCCUUUCUCGAACUCUCUCUCCAAAACCCAAUCCCCUUUCCCACUCUCGCUUCUCGCUUGCCGUCCUCGACCCGCUCCGACUCGGACUCGAUUCGCCCAGAGUCCCGACCCGGUCGAAAACAACGUCCGGGUCGGGUUACUCGCCGUUGAACGAUCCCUCUCCCAACUGGAGCAACAGGCCACCGAAGGAGACGAUUCUUCUUGACGGAUGCGAUUACGAGCAUUGGCUCAUCGUCAUGGAAUUCCCCGAAAACCCUAAACCCUCUGAAGAUGAAAUGAUCGCUGCAUACGUCAAGACUCUCACUGCAGUUGUCGGAAGCGAAGAGGAGGCGAAGAAGAAGAUUUACUCGGUUUGUACGACGACAUAUACGGGUUUUGGUGCGUUGAUUUCUGAAGAGCUCUCGUAUAAAGUUAAAGGGCAACCUGGUGUUCUUUGGGUAUUGCCGGAUUCUUACCUCGAUGUGCCGAACAAGGACUACGGAGGUGAUCUGUUCGUUGAUGGUAAAGUCAUCCAUAGACCGCAAUUCCGUUUCAAUGAGAGGCAACAAACUAGGAAUAGGCCUCGGCCACGGUAUGAUAGGCGGCGGGAAACAAUGCAAGUUGAAAGAAGGGAGCCGUUGCAACAACGGAGGGAGCCUGGGUCACAGCCGAUGCCAUUGGGCGGUCAAGGGUUAUCUCGAGGAGAACAGAGAGAUUCAGCUCGUAAUCAGGGAAAAGCUCAUGGGGCGAUGCCUGAGAAUUUCGGCCGGGAUACUAAAAUGGACUAAGUAUGGAAUGGACUCGAGGUUUAUACAAAACAUGGUUUCUUGAUUUUUGGAGGACUUGCCGGCCUUAUGUUAUGAAAAUCUGUGAAUUACGAUAGGGAAAAAGCUGUGGUCCCAAAAUCGGGAUGUUGUCGCAGAAAAAGGCGUGUACUAGGUUGAUGCUUGGGAAGGAAUGCUUGUUCCAGAUUCUCAUUUUGAGGCAAAAUUGAUAUGGUUUGCAAGCAUAUUUAGAUGAAAGGUAAAGGGAUCUUAGUUCUAAAACUCCAGGAGUUAAGACUCUAAACUAUAGGAAAUUCACUGAGGAGCGCGACUUUGGGUCCCAAAUUGACAACACUUGAUGAAUUGGCUUGUUAACUGGGUUGACCCACUGUGGCUUGCCAUAUCUUGAAUUGAGCCACUUGUCUGGUCUUUUUUCUUCUUCUUCUUUUUUUUUUUUUUUUCUUAGGUUUGCAAGAGGGAUUGACAUUGAGCAUGUACUUUUUUGCAUUGGUUAUGGAUGAGUUAAGGAGACAUUUGCAGGAAGAGAUCGCAUGGUAUAUAUUUUUUGUAGAGAACAUAGUUUUGAUUGACAAUAUGUUGUUUGUAGAGAA